GAUCUGUACCCAAAUCCCUCAUUUUGCUCCAGCUCCACCCUGACAGAACCUACAGACCCAAGUGUUGAUCAAUUAGAAGAUGCCUAUAGUGCUAGGGACUUUUAGCUGCCAGAUACUGAGUUUAAGUAUAGUCCUUCCCAGUGUGGGAAAGGAAGAGGGAUUAAAAGUGAAUUAUGGUUAAAUCUAGAUGGGUAAAAAAGGCUGUAGAAGGUUUCUGAAUGUCUGCAGACAUUCUGU